rnacentral:rRNA from 1 species
GACGAACGCUUGCGGCGUGCUUAACACAUGCAAGUCGAACGGAAAGGCCCUGCUUUUGUGGGGUGCUCGAGUGGCGAACGGGUGAGUAACACGUGAGUAACCUGCCCUUGACUUUGGGAUAACUUCAGGAAACUGGGGCUAAUACCGGAUAGGAGCUCCUGCUGCAUGGUGGGGGUUGGAAAGUUUCGGCGGUUGGGGAUGGACUCGCGGCUUAUCAGCUUGUUGGUGGGGUAGUGGCUUACCAAGGCUUUGACGGGUAGCCGGCCUGAGAGGGUGACCGGCCACAUUGGGACUGAGAUACGGCCCAGACUCCUACGGGAGGCAGCAGUGGGGAAUAUUGCACAAUGGGCGGAAGCCUGAUGCAGCAACGCCGCGUGCGGGAUGACGGCCUUCGGGUUGUAAACCGCUUUCGCCUGUGACGAAGCGUGAGUGACGGUAAUGGGUAAAGAAGCACCGGCUAACUACGUGCCAGCAGCCGCGGUGAUACGUAGGGUGCGAGCGUUGUCCGGAUUUAUUGGGCGUAAAGGGCUCGUAGGUGGUUGAUCGCGUCGAAAGUGUAAUCUUGGGGCUUAACCCCUGAGCGUGCUUUCGAUACGGGUUGACUUGAGGAAGUAGGGGGAGAAUGGAAUUCCUGGUGGAGCGGUGGAAUGCGCAGAUAUCAGGAGGAACACCAGUGGGCGAAAGCGGUUCUCUGGGCCUUUCCUGACGCUGAGGAGCGAAAGCGUGGGGAGCGAACAGGCUUAGAUACCCUGGUAGUCCACGCUGUAAACGGUGGGUACUAGGUGUGGGGUCCAUUCCACGGGUUCCGUGCCGUAGCUAACGCUUUAAGUACCCCGCCUGGGGAGUACGGCCGCAAGGCUAAAACUCAAAGGAAUUGACGGGGCCCCGCACAAGCGGCGGAGCAUGCGGAUUAAUUCGAUGCAACGCGUAGAACCUUACCUGGGUUUGACAUGGAUCGGGAGCGCUCAGAGAUGGGUGUGCCUCUUUUGGGGUCGGUUCACAGGUGGUGCAUGGCUGUCGUCAGCUCGUGUCGUGAGAUGUUGGGUUAAGUCCCGCAACGAGCGCAACCCUUGUUCACUGUUGCCAGCACGUUAUGGUGGGGACUCAGUGGAGACCGCCGGGGACAACUCGGAGGAAGGUGGGGAUGACGUCAAGUCAUCAUGCCCCUUAUGUCCAGGGCUUCACGCAUGCUACAAUGGCUGGUACAGAGAGUGGCGAGCCUGUGAGGGUGAGCGAAUCUCGGAAAGCCGGUCUCAGUUCGGAUUGGGGUCUGCAACUCGACCUCAUGAAGUCGGAGUCGCUAGUAAUCGCAGAUCAGCAACGCUGCGGUGAAUACGUUCCCGGGGCU